CGGGAAAUAACCGAGUGGUUAAGGUAUCAGAUUUUGAUUCUGAAAAUCGUAGGUUCAAAUCCUACUUUCCCUG
rnacentral:tRNA from 1 species